rnacentral:rRNA from 1 species
AGUGAACGCUGGCGGUAGGCCUAACACAUGCAAGUCGAACGGUAGCACAGUAAGAGCUUGCUCUUACGGGUGGCGAGUGACGGACGGGUGAGGAAUACAUCGGAAUCUACUUUUUCGUGGGGGAUAACGUAGGGAAACUUACGCUAAUACCGCAUACGACCUACGGCUGAAAGCAGGGGAUCUUCGGACCUUGCGCGAUUGAAUGAGCCGAUGUCGGAUUAGCUAGUUGGCGGGGUAAAGGCCCACCAAGGCGACGAUCCGUAGCUGGUCUGAGAGGAUGAUCAGCCACACUGGAACUGAGACACGGUCCAGACUCCUACGGGAGGCAGCAGUGGGGAAUAUUGGACAAUGGGCGCAAGCCUGAUGCAGCCAUACCGCGUGGGUGAAGAAGGCCUUCGGGUUGUAAAGCUCUUUUGUUGGGAAAGAACAGCAGCAGGUUAAUACCUCGCUGUUCUGACGGUACCCAAAGAAUAAGCACCGGCUAACUUCGUG